rnacentral:rRNA from 1 species
AAAGGAAUUGACGGGCACCCGCACAAGCGGUGGAGCAUGCUGUUUAAUUCGAAGAUACGCGAAGAACCUUACCUAGACUUGACAUCCCCGGCAAAGACAUAGAAAUAUGUUGGAGGUUACCCGGGUGACAGGUGGUGCAUGGUUGUCGUCAGCUCGUGUCGUGAGAUGUUCGGUUAAGUCCGCUAACGAGCGCAACCCUUGUCCUUAGUUGCUAACAUUAAGUUGAGAACCCUAAGGAGACUGCCGGUGACAAACCGGAGGAAGGUGGGGAUGACGUCAAAUCAUCAUGCCCCUUACGUCUAGGGCUACAGGCGUGCUAUAAUGGCCGGUAUAAUGAGAUGCAAUAUCGUGAGAUGGAGCCAAACUCCAAAGCCGGUCUCAGUUCGGAUUGAAGUCUGCAACUCGACUUCAUGAAGCUAGAAUCGCUAGUAAUCCCGAAUCAGAAUGUCGGGGUGAAUACGUUCCCGGGUGUUGCACACACCGCCCGU